ensembl:snoRNA
UGGAUCAAUGAUGACGGUUGGUGGAGUACGAGUCUUGAACGAUGACUACUUCAUGUCUGGAAGUCUGAGGUCCAG